AAUAGACAACGAUGGACCAUGAAGAAAGGCACACACGUUAAGAUCACUUCGACUCGAAGUUCAUUUACUCUACCCAUCCUAACAUUACGACACCAUUUCGUUGUCCUUUCUUCUCCUUCCCAGUUCCCACUAUUCCACUAACCACCAAAAAUGCAUUUUCCUCUUUACUUCUUUAUCAAUUUAUUCUUUCUUAUACAUAAUUUAACUAUCUGUUUUUGUGUUUGUGUUUGCUUCAUGUUGGUUUACGCUUGUGCGGUUCAUGUUUGUGAUUUCUUUAUAAUUAUUGUCCGAGUAGGAUUUUUAUGUUCUUCGCUCAAACCGCUAGACCGAUGAUCUUAA